rnacentral:rRNA from 1 species
UAGAUACCCUGGUAGUCCACGCCGUAAACGAUGUCUACUUGGAGGUUGUGGCCUUGAGCCGUGGCUUUCGGAGCUAACGCGUUAAGUAGACCGCCUGGGGAGUACGGUCGCAAGAUUAAAACUCAAAUGAAUUGACGGGGGCCCGCACAAGCGGUGGAGCAUGUGGUUUAAUUCGAUGCAACGCGAAGAACCUUACCUACUCUUGACAUCCAGAGAACUUUCCAGAGAUGGAUUGGUGCCUUCGGGAACUCUGAGACAGGUGCUGCAUGGCUGUCGUCAGCUCGUGUUGUGAAAUGUUGGGUUAAGUCCCGCAACGAGCGCAACCCUUAUCCUUGUUUGCCAGCGAGUAAUGUCGGGAACUCCAGGGAGACUGCCGGUGAUAAACCGGAGGAAGGUGGGGACGACGUCAAGUCAUCAUGGCCCUUACGAGUAGGGCUACACACGUGCUACAAUGGCGCAUACAGAGGGCAGCCAACUUGCGAAAGUGAGCGAAUCCCAAAAAGUGCGUCGUAGUCCGGAUUGGAGUCUGCAACUCGACUCCAUGAAGUCGGAAUCGCUAGUAAUCGUGGAUCAGAAUGCCACGGUGAAUACGUUCCCGGGCCUUGUACACACCGCCCGUCACACCAUGGGAGUGGGCUGCAAAAGAAGUAGGUAGUUUAACCUUCGGGGGGACGCUUACCACUUUGUGGUUCAUGACUGGGGUGAAGUCGUAACAAGGUAGCGCUAGGGGAACCUGGCGCUG